AACGAACGCUGGCGGCAGGCUUAACACAUGCAAGUCGAGCGCCCCGCAAGGGGAGCGGCAGACGGGUGAGUAACGCGUGGGAAUCUACCCAUCUCUACGGAAUAACGCAUGGAAACGUGUGCUAAUACCGUAUACGUCCUUCGGGAGAAAGAUUUAUCGGAGAUGGAUGAGCCCGCGUUGGAUUAGCUAGUCGGUGGGGUAAAGGCCUACCAAGGCGACGAUCCAUAGCUGGUCUGAGAGGAUGAUCAGCCACACUGGGACUGAGACACGGCCCAGACUCCUACGGGAGGCAGCAGUGGGGAAUAUUGGACAAUGGGCGCAAGCCUGAUCCAGCCAUGCCGCGUGAGUGAUGAAGGCCCUUGGGUUGUAAAGCUCUUUCACCGGUGAAGAUAAUGACGGUAACCGGAGAAGAAGCCCCGGCUAACUUCGUGCCAGCAGCCGCGGUAAUAC
rnacentral:rRNA from 1 species